rnacentral:rRNA from 1 species
UUAACUUAGUGGCGGACGGGUGAGUAACGCGUGGAUAACCUGCCUCACACUGGGGGAUAGCAGCUGGAAACGGCUGGUAAUACCGCAUAAGACCACGGUGCCGCAUGGCACAGGGGUAAAGAUUUAUCGGUGUGAGAUGGAUCCGCGUCUGAUUAGCCAGUUGGCGGGUAACGGCCCACCAAAGCGACGAUCAGUAGCCGGACUGAGAGGCUGGACGGCCACAUUGGGACUGAGACACGGCCCAGACUCCUACGGGAGGCAGCAGUGGGGAAUAUUGCACAAUGGAGGGAACUCUGAUGCAGCGAUGCCGCGUGAGGGAAGAAGGUUUUAGGAUUGUAAACCUCUGUUGACAGGGACGAUAAUGACGGUACCUGUUGAGGAAGCUCCGGCUAACUACGUGCCAGCCGCCGC